GCUAAUAGGGCUGCUUAAGCAGGCUACUUUGAUAUAGUAGACUUAAAACAAUAUGUUUCGUUAGUA
rnacentral:tRNA from 4 species